rnacentral:rRNA from 1 species
GDGUGCGAUCAUACCAGCACUAAUGCACCGGAUCCCAUUAGAACUCCGAAGUUAAAAGUGCUUGGGCGAGAGUAGUAUUAGGAUGGGUGACCUCUUGGGAAGUCCUCAUGUUGCACCCC